rnacentral:rRNA from 1 species
AUUGAACGCUGGCGGCAGGCCUAAAACAUGCAAGUCGAGCGGAUGAAGGGAGCUUGCUCCUGGAUUCAGCGGCGGACGGGUGAGUAAUGCCUAGGAAUCUGCCUGGUAGUGGGGGAUAACGUCCGGAAACGGGCGCUAAUACCGCAUACGUCCUGAGGGAGAAAGUGGGGGAUCUUCGGACCUCACGCUAUCAGAUGAGCCUAGGUCGGAUUAGCUAGUUGGUGGGGUAAAGGCCUACCAAGGCGACGAUCCGUAACUGGUCUGAGAGGAUGAUCAGUCACACUGGAACUGAGACACGGUCCAGACUCCUACGGGAGGCAGCAGUGGGGAAUAUUGGACAAUGGGCGAAAGCCUGAUCCAGCCAUGCCGCGUGUGUGAAGAAGGUCUUCGGAUUGUAAAGCACUUUAAGUUGGGAGGAAGGGCAGUAAGUUAAUACCUUGCUGUUUUGACGUUACCAACAGAAUAAGCACCGGCUAACUUCGUG